GGUUGUGUAGUGUAGCGGUCUUAUCACUUCGGAUUGUACGUUCCUAAUUUGCACUUCAAGAUCAACCUCCAUACUAACAUACAUCAAGUUGAUGCUCAGCUGAAAUUCCGACAACCCCGGUUCGAGUCCGGGCACGACCU